CUCGUAGGCGGCCAACUAAGUCAGACGUGAAAUCCCCAGGCUCAACCUGGGAACUGCGUCUGAUACUGGAUGGCUUGAAUCCGGGAGAGGGAUGCAGAAUUCCAGGUGUAGCGGUGAAAUGCGUAGAUAUCUGGAGGAAUACCGGUGGCGAAGGCGGCAUCCUGGACCGGCAUUGACGCUGAGGAGCGAAAGCCAGGGAGCAAC
rnacentral:rRNA from 1 species